CUUCAUUAUGCAUUCGCCGAGACCCUAAUUCAAGGCCGAGGAUGUCUCAGGUACUUCGGAUGUUGGAAGGUGACGUGUUAGUGAGCUAGGUUUGUAGUGAACACAAUGCUCUGCAGUUGAUGUUCAAAAGAAGUCGAGCUUGAAAAAGACAAUCGAACCGAGUUAGAAAGGACAUUUCAGAAUAAUGCUCCACCUGUUCUGGACUGCAAGAAGAUGCCACAGGUAGAGAGGUCUCCUAUAUAUGAGACAAGGGGAGCUUACAUGAUAAAAUAACAAUGAUGUCAUGGCCAUUUUUAGUCCUCCCACCAUCAUAUACCAAAUUUUGUUGCACUUCAUGAUCCACAUGCAUGAUAGAAGGUGUAAAGCAGUGAUAAUAUUAAUGUGUUUUUUUUUGUUUGUUUUUUAUGCAUAGUAGAAUUAGGAGACGUUGGAUAUAGG
rnacentral:misc_RNA from 1 species